rnacentral:rRNA from 1 species
CCCUUCAGAGGGGGACAACAGUUGGAAACGACUGCUAAUACCGCAUACGAUCUAACCUCGGCAUCGAGGAUAGAUGAAAGGUGGCCUCUACAUGUAAGCUAUCACUGAAGGAGGGGAUUGCGUCUGAUUAGCUAGUUGGAGGGGUAACGGCCCACCAAGGCGAUGAUCAGUAGCCGGUCUGAGAGGAUGAACGGCCACAUUGGGACUGAGACACGGCCCAG